UAUCUGUUAGGACCCGAAAGAUGGUGAACUAUGCCUGAGAAGGGCAAACUCAGGGGAAACUCUGAUGGAGGCUCGUAGCGAUACUGACGUGCAAAUCGUUCGUCAUACUUGGGUAUAGGGGCGAAAGACUAAUCGAACCAUCUAGUAGCUGGUUCCCUCCGAAGUUUCCCACAGGAUAGCUGGAGUUGAACAGUUUUAUCAGGUAAAGCGAAUGAUUAGAGGAAUCGGGGGCGCGUUGUCCUCGACCUAUUCUCAAACUUUAAAUGGGUAAGAUCC
rnacentral:rRNA from 1 species